CCAAAUGAGGAAAUCGAAGGGAAGCGGCGAGAUUAGAAGCUCCCGGGAGCGCCGUAGACGCAUACAGAUGAUAUGCACAAACACGACCACGUCUGGAAAUACGAUGCCACAAGUUCUUCGACCUUGGGGCCGUUCGCCACGUGCGCCAACUCUUCGCCAUUGUCUCCAGACCUGAUCUAUUAUUGUUCAAUGUCGUUGUUAGAGGCUAAUCUUCGAUCUCUCUGUCUAUACCCAUUUAAGAAAUGAAAAGACUGAUAUUAGGCCAGACAAUUUUACUUGUGCAUUUACGAUUUCAGCUGCUUCGAGGUUUGAGGAUGAGAGGAUUGGCGUCUUGUUGCAAGCGCAUUCCAUUGUUGGUGGGGCGGCGUCAAAUUUGUUUGUUGGGUAUGUAAUCGUUGAUUUGUACAUCAAAUUUACGCGCGCCGAGUUGGCGCGCAAGGUGUUUGAUGUUGUGCUUGAGAGGGAUACGGUUCUUUGGAACACAGAGAACCCGAUGUCUAUUGAAGUCAAGCUGAAGCAUAAGGACAAGAGUGUCAAAAGAUAGGCUUGAUAAGAGCCAAAUAGGGCCUCGGGACUUAACCUCAAAAGUCGGAGUUUCAGUCUGAAUUUUGGCGUAUGAUCUAGGCCAAAUUUGAUUUCAAGUCUGAAUCGCUAAGUCCGCAGCUUUCAAAUCAGUUGUUCAUAAACAUCAUCGAUGUUGAAUAUUAACUUGCUGUGCUGCAGGUACGCAGCUGGUCAUGCUUAAAGCAUGGCUUUGCAUUCUCUUGCUUCAGAAAUUGUGUGAAUCCAGUAAUAGUUAUUUGCAAAGGAGAAUAAAUGGUCUUGGCUAGGUACCACAGCUGUUGAGGGUUUUGGAAGUGAAUUGUCUACUAUGUUUGCAUGAAGAAUCGAUAUUUAUUCUCUUCUAUAUUUAUAUUUUUGGAUACUAAGGGGAUCAGAUUGCUGCAUUUAAGAAAAAAAUUUAAAGAAUGCGUCUCCAAGAAUGUUAAUCCUUGAGGUCCCUUUGUUUUCAUCACAAACGGAUCAAUUCGGACCCAAAGCAAGGAGAAGAUCGAAGCCAACAGCACCGACCAUAUGACGACUAUAGUCGGUGUGCGGUUUUGUCGGCCCAUCAGACCCUUAAGGAAUG